rnacentral:rRNA from 1 species
CCUACGGGUGGCAGCAGUGAGGAAUAUUGGUCAAUGGACGAGAGUCUGAACCAGCCAAGUAGCGUGAAGGAUGACUGCCCUAUGUGUUGUAAACUUCUUUUAUAAAGGAAUAAAACGAGGCACGUGUGCCUUUUUGCAUGUACUUUAUGAAUAAGGAUCGGCUAACUCCGUGCCAGCCGCCGCGGUAAUACGGAGGAUCCGAGCGUUAUCCGGAUUUAUUGGGUUUAAAGGGAGCGUAGAUGGGUUGUUAAGUCAGUUGUGAAAGUUUGCGGCUCAACCGUAAAAUUGCAAUUGAUACUGGCAGUCUUGAGUACAGUUGAGGUAGGCGGAAUUCGUGGUGUAGCGGUGAAAUGCUUAGAUAUCAUGAAGAACUCCGAUCGCGAAGGCAAGUGUCCGGGGUGCAACUGACGCUGAGGCUCGAAAGUGCGGGUAUCAAACAGGAUUAGAUACCCUUGUAGUC